rnacentral:rRNA from 1 species
ACCGGCAGCUCAAGUGGUGGCCAUUAUUAUUGGGCCUAAGCGUUCGUAGCCGGUUUGAUAAGUCUCUGGUGAAAUCCCGCAGCUUAACUGUGGGACUUGCUGGAGAUACUAUCAGACUUGAGGUCGGGAGAGGUUAGGGGUACUCCCAGGGUUGGGGUGAAAUCCUAUGCUACUGGGCGGAGCAACUGUGGCGAAGGCGGAUAACUGGAGCGAUCCUGACCGUGAGUAACGAAAGCGAGGGGCGCGAAACG